CCGGACGGGUACCAUGCUCGGGAAAUUCAAUAAACACACGUGUCGUCACUGUCGUGCUUGUGAAAUCUAAAAGUAGGCUAUGCCCUUCUUUAUAAUUUAUAGGCUUUAUUGAAGGAAUGAAAGACUUAAUAAGCUAUGCAAUCACAAUUUAAAUGUUUUUGCCAAUAUUAAAUAAUUUUGUCAAUGAAUUCGGUCAAUUUAUAACUUCAGCCUAAACCAAAUGGCCUGACAGGCCAGGCGCCGCCGCCCAGGCCUAUGACUGAGGUGACUCAGAUGUCUGUGAAGUGGUGAUGGUUUUGGUGGAGGUCCUGCAUAGUUGGCUCCCACGCUUGCAGCUCAUGAAGAACCCAGAGACUGGGGGAUGGCCAGCACCAAGAUGACGAAUCGUGAUCAUCCAUGGGGCCAUGGGACGCAUCUGCCAUGGAGACACGUGGAGCUCCGGCACGAAUGAUGUCCUGAUCUCACCUUCUUCACAGUCGCAGGGUCCUUAAUUUAUGUGUAUUAAAAUUGCUAAUCGUGGCCUUUCCAUUACCUACUUAUUUAUAUUUUUGCGGCGACAAGGUGGUUAUUUUUUUUUUUGGUUGUU
rnacentral:lncRNA from 1 species